GCCUCACAUAUGCUAGGUGAGCACUCUACCACUGAACACAACCCCAGCCCUAUAGCUUUAUUCUUUGAGAGAUAUUCGAUUAAAUGCUCUCUUCAAAGGCCCUCUUAGAAUCUCACAAUAACCUGUUCUGUUCUUUUGUAGGACUUUGUAAUAUGUGAUAUAUUUAUGAGAGCAGGGGCCUUACCUUCCUUUAUCUCUCUAUACCUAGCAACUAGAACAAUACUAUGCAUAUAGUAGACAUUUAAUAAAUACUGAAUGAACGUUGGUUUGUGCUUGUUCCUCCCUAAAUAUUAUUAUCCCUUUCUAAUUUUUGUUUGUUUUUCAUUUGGUAUUAGGAAUUGAACACUUUACCACUGGGCUACUAAAGUCCUUUCUACUUAUUUAUUUCUAUUUUGAUACAAGGUCUCCCUAAGUUGCUGAGGGUCUCACUAAAUUGCCAAGCUGGCCCCGAACUUGUGAUCCUCCUGCCCCAGCCUCCUGAAUGGCUUGGAUUACAGGCGUGUGCCAUCUUACCUGGUCCUUUCCGCAAACUGCUACAUCCUCAACUACUACCUCCUCAUUUUUCAAAAUUCAGCUUAUCCGCAAACUCAAGUUUUCUAGGUUACUCUUUUCUUAAUCUGAUUUAAAUGUCUUUUCCUGGUGCUCUGACACCAUUUAGAAUAUAUAAUGGUUAUCAAAGUGUGGUUUCUGAAUCAGCAGCACCAGCACAACAGGGUAGUUUGUUAGAAAAUCAUAUUAUUGGACCUGACCCAAGACAUCUUAACUCAAAAACUGGGAGUGGUGCCAACAAACUGCAUUUUAACAAGCCCUCCAGGUGAUUGUGAUACCUGCCGGUAAAGUUUGAGAACCACAAGAAUAUAGUAACCAUAUGUCUCCAGGACAAUGCCUAGAACAAGAUUAUUACAAAGACCUGAAAUCCAUUGUCUUGAAGCCUCAUCCAUCCAAGUUCUUGUGAGGAUGUGAACAACUAAUUCAAGUUCCUGACAGCCUUUUCACAUUUGAGGAUAUCUUUAUCCUCAAAUUAUCCAUUUUGAAUAUUCCAUUAUCUCUGCCCCACCCCAGCCCUCAUCCUCAACUCCUGGAUUAAUAUCAUUAAUUAUAAUCAUUAUUCUUUCUCAUGUGCUAUGAUUGAAUCCCUUCACUUUACUCAUUGAGCAGAUUACAACUUUAUAUCCAUCUUAAAUAUAUAUUCAGGGCAUCAUCUUGGCUUUCAAACUACAAUUCUGAAUAGAAGUACUAUCUGUCAGCAUAAUCACCCCCAACAAGACAGAAUUCACAAAAGAACGUGGUUAGCAUUCCAUUUGUAUAGUUGGAGGUAUACAGUGGAAACCAAAGAUAAGCCAAAGCUCUGUAUUUCUCUGUUUCAU
rnacentral:lncRNA from 1 species